GACGAACGCUGGCGGCGUGCUUAACACAUGCAAGUCGAACGGAAAGGCCCUGCUUUUGUGGGGUGCUCGAGUGGCGAACGGGUGAGUAACACGUGAGUAACCUGCCCUUGACUUUGGGAUAACUUCAGGAAACUGGGGCUAAUACCGGAUAGGAGCUCCUGCUGCAUGGUGGGGGUUGGAAAGUUUCGGCGGUUGGGGAUGGACUCGCGGCUUAUCAGCUUGUUGGUGGGGUAGUGGCUUACCAAGGCUUUGACGGGUAGCCGGCCUGAGAGGGUGACCGGCCACAUUGGGACUGGGAUACGGCCCAGACUCCUACGGGAGGCAGCAGUGGGGAAUAUUGCACAAUGGGCGGAAGCCUGAUGCAGCAACGCCGCGUGCGGGAUGACGGCCUUCGGGUUGUAAACCGCUUUCGCCUGUGACGAAGCGUGAGUGACGGUAAUGGGUAAAGAAGCACCGGCUAACUACGUGCCAGCAGCCGCGGUGAUACGUAGGGUGCGAGCGUUGUCCGGAUUUAUUGGGCGUAAAGGGCUCGUAGGUGGUUGAUCGCGUCGGAAGUGUAAUCUUGGGGCUUAACCCUGAGCGUGCUUUCGAUACGGGUUGACUUGAGGAAGGUAGGGGAGAAUGGAAUUCCUGGUGGAGCGGUGGAAUGCGCAGAUAUCAGGAGGAACACCAGUGGCGAAGGCGGUUCUCUGGGCCUUUCCUGACGCUGAGGAGCGAAAGCGUGGGGAGCGAACAGGCUUAGAUACCCUGGUAGUCCACGCUGUAAACGGUGGGUACUAGGUGUGGGGUCCAUUCCACGGGUUCCGUGCCGUAGCUAACGCUUUAAGUACCCCGCCUGGGGAGUACGGCCGCAAGGCUAAAACUCAAAGGAAUUGACGGGGCCCCGCACAAGCGGCGGAGCAUGCGGAUUAAUUCGAUGCAACGCGUAGAACCUUACCUGGGUUUGACAUGGAUCGGGAGUGCUCAGAGAUGGGUGUGCCUCUUUUGGGGUCGGUUCACAGGUGGUGCAUGGCUGUCGUCAGCUCGUGUCGUGAGAUGUUGGGUUAAGUCCCGCAACGAGCGCAACCCUUGUUCACUGUUGCCAGCACGUUAUGGUGGGGACUCAGUGGAGACCGCCGGGGUCAACUCGGAGGAAGGUGGGGAUGACGUCAAGUCAUCAUGCCCCUUAUGUCCAGGGCUUCACGCAUGCUACAAUGGCUGGUACAGAGAGUGGCGAGCCUGUGAGGGUGAGCGAAUCUCGGAAAGCCGGUCUCAGUUCGGAUUGGGGUCUGCAACUCGACCUCAUGAAGUCGGAGUUGCUAGUAAUCGCAGAUCAGCAACGCUGCGGUGAAUACGUUCCCGGG
rnacentral:rRNA from 1 species